UUGAAUAAUGGGUGUCUAAAUCAACAGCAGCCCUCUGUUCAGGAGUUUUUGCCUUCAAAAACCGGACAGCAAUUGAUAGAGUUUGACGAUCGAGCUGGCAGGCAAAAGGACCAAAUGAGCAUGAGAAUCAACAAAAAACUCUUCAUUCUGUACAAGUAUAUAAUGAGAAACAGACAGAGGAAGCGCUGUGUUUGAGAUCAACCAUUUGAGUCGUCUAUGCUACCAAAUAUAAAAAAGUUAUGCAAUCAGGAACUAUUCCAAUCAAAUGGUUGUACCACCUAUCGAAGCAACAGACUGGCCUGUAGCAUUUCACUGGGAGGGGUCCCUCACUCUUUGAGAAAAAUGAUGAGCAUCUCUUGUCCUAUGCAGAGUAAAGGAGAGUGGGUUACCUAACCUACACGUAUAAGCUGCAGUUGAGAUAUUUGUUUAUCUCAUAUGACAAUCUGAGGGUAUCAAGUGGAAUAGAUGCAGAUACAACUCAUUAUUCAUUAUUCAUUUUUGCCAGAAGAACAAAAAUAGUAUUCCUUC